CGCUGGCGGCGUGCUUAACACAUGCAAGUCGAACGAUGAAGCCGGAGCUUGCUCCCGGUGGAUUAGUGGCGAACGGGUGAGUAACACGUGAGCAAUCUGCCCUUGACUCUGGGAUAACUGCGGGAAACUGUAGCUAAUACCGGAUACGACACCUUGGGGCAUCCCAGGGUGUGGAAAGAAUUUCGGUCAAGGAUGAGCUCGCGGCCUAUCAGCUAGUUGGUGAGGGUAAUGGCCUCCCAAGGCGACGAUCAGUAGCUGGUCUGAGAGGAUGAUCAGCCACACUGGAACUGAGACACGGUCCAGACUCCUACGGGAGGCAGCAGUGAGGAAUUUUCCGCAAUGGGCGCAAGCCUGACGGAGCAAUACCGCGUGGAGGAGGAAGGCCCGUGGGUCGUAAACUCCUUUUCUCAGAGAAGAACACAAUGACGGUAUCUGAGGAAUAAGCAUCGGCUAACUCCGUG
rnacentral:rRNA from 1 species